rnacentral:rRNA from 1 species
GAUGAACGCUAGCGGCAGGCUUAACACAUGCAAGUCGAGGGGUAGAGGCUUUCGGGCCCUGAGACCGGCGCACGGGUGCGUAACGCGUAUGCAAUCUGCCUUGUACUGGGGUAUAGCCCAGAGAAAUUUGGAUUAAUACCCCAUAGUAUUUUCGGUUGGCAUCAACUGAUUAUUAAAGUUUUUCGGUACAAGAUGAGCAUGCGUCCCACUAGCUAGUUGGUAUGGUAACGGCAUACCAAGGCUACGAUGGGUAGGGGUCCUGAGAGGGAGAUCCCCCACACUGGUACUGAGACACGGACCAGACUCCUACGGGAGGCAGCAGUGAGGAAUAUUGGUCAAUGGUCGCAAGACUGAACCAGCCAUGCCGCGUGCAGGAUGAAGCAUCUAUGGUGUGUAAACUGCUUUUGUACGGGAAGAAACACUCCUACGUGUAGGGGCUUGACGGUACCGUAAGAAUAAGGAUCGGCUAACUCCGUGCCAGCCGCCGCCGUAAGAC